GGCGCCAUGGCUUAAUGGUAAAGCGCCUGUCUAGUAAACAGGAUAUCCUGGGUUCGAUCCCCAGUGGUGCCU
rnacentral:tRNA from 1 species